rnacentral:rRNA from 1 species
GGCGCCACCUCCACCCUAUAAUCCUCGGAAGGCGAAAGCCUGACGCAGCAACGCCGCGUGAGUGAUGAAGGCCCUCGGGUCGUAAAGCUCUGUCAGAGGGGAAGAACCUCCCGUCGGUUAAUAUCCGGUGGGCCUGACGGUACCCUCAAAGGAAGCACCGGCUAACUCCGUGCCAGCAGCCGCAGUAAUACGGAGGGUGCAAGCGUUGUUCGGAAUUAUUGGGCGUAAAGCGCGUGUAGGCGGUUGUUUAAGUCUGAUGUGAAAGCCCUGGGCUCAACCCGGGAAGUGCAUUGGAAACUGGAUAACUUGAGUACGGGAGAGGGAAGUGGAAUUCCGAGUGUAGGGGUGAAAUCCGUAGAUAUUCGGAGGAACACCGGUGGCGAAGGCGGCUUCCUGGACCGAUACUGACGCUGAGACGCGAAAGCGUGGGGAGCAAACAGGAUUAGAUACCCUGGUAGUCCACGCCGUAAACGAU